GAUGAACGCUGGCGGCGUGCCUAAUACAUGCAAGUCGAGCGGACCAGAGAGAGCUUGCUCUCUGAGGUUAGCGGCGGACGGGUGAGUAACACGUGGGUAACCUGCCUGUAAGACGGGGAUAACUUCGGGAAACCGAAGCUAAUACCGGAUGAUAAAGAGAAACGCCUGUUUCUUUUUUGAAAGUCGGCCUUGUGCUGACGCUUACAGAUGGGCCCGCGGCGCAUUAGCUAGUUGGUGAGGUAACGGCUCACCAAGGCGACGAUGCGUAGCCGACCUGAGAGGGUGAUCGGCCACACUGGGACUGAGACACGGCCCAGACUCCUACGGGAGGCAGCAGUAGGGAAUCUUCGGAAAUGGACGAAAGUCUGACCGAGCAACGCCGCGUGAGCGAUGAGGGCCUUCGGGUCGUAAAGCUCUGUUGUCAGAGAAGAACAAGUACCGGAGUAACUGCCGGUACCUUGACGGUACCUGACCAGAAAGCCACGGCUAACUACGUGCCAGCCGCCGCAGUAA
rnacentral:rRNA from 1 species